CUGGGAGUCCAUAAGCAUUUCUGAACAGAUGUGUUUUGAGGGACUUCUUAAACAAUUGAAGACUAGGGGAGAGUCUCAUGGGGGUAGGCAGGCUGUUCCAAAGGAAGGGAGCCACCCUCAAGAAGUCUUGCAAGAGAGAGUUAGCAGUAAGGGUGCGAGCAGCGGACAGGAGAAGCUCACUAGCAGAGUGGAGAGACCGGGAAGGGGCAUAUCUAUGAAUCAAGGAAGAAAUGUAAGAGGGGCUAGAGUUGGUUAGAGCUUUAUAGGUAAGGCUUAGUAUUUUGAAUUGACACAUGUAGGGGACAGGAAGCCAGUGUAAGGAUCGACAGAGGGGCGAAGUAUGGGAGGAGUGAGAAAGAUCAGCCUGGCGGCAACAUUC